GACGAACGCUGGCGGCGUGCUUAACACAUGCAAGUCGAACGGUGAAGCGCCUUCCUUUUUGGUGGGUGUGGAUGAGUGGCGAACGGGUGAGUAACACGUGAGUAACCUGCCCCCUUCUUCUGGAUAACCGCAUGAAAGUGUGGCUAAUACGGGAUAUUCUGGGUCUGUCGCAUGAUGGGUCUGGGAAAGAUAUUGUUUCGGUGGGGGAUGGGCUCGCGGCCUAUCAGCUUGUUGGUGGGGUGAUGGCCUACCAAGGCGGUGACGGGUAGCCGGCCUGAGAGGGUGGACGGUCACACUGGGACUGAGACACUGCACAGACUCCUACGGGAGGCAGCAGUGGGGAAUAUUGCACAAUGGGCGAAAGCCUGAUGCAGCGACGCCGCGUGAGGGAUGGAGGCCUUCGGGUUGUGAACCUCUUUCGCCAGUGAAGCAGGCCUGCCUCGUUUGUGGGUGGGUUGACGGUAGCUGGAGAAGAAGCGCCGGCUAACUACGUG
rnacentral:rRNA from 1 species